rnacentral:rRNA from 1 species
GAUGAACGCUGGCGGCGUGCCUAAUACAUGCAAGUCGAGCGAACGGACGAGAAGCUUGCUUCUCUGAUGUUAGCGGCGGACGGGUGAGUAACACGUGGAUAACCUACCUAUAAGACUGGGAUAACUUCGGGAAACCGUAGCUAAUACCGGAUAAUAUUUUGAACCGCAUGGUUCAAAAGUGAAAGACGGUCUUGCUGUCACUUAUAGAUGGAUCCGCGCUGCAUUAGCUAGUUGGUAAGGUAACGGCUUACCAAGGCAACGAUGCAUAGCCGACCUGAGAGGGUGAUCGGCCACACUGGAACUGAGACACGGUCCAGACUCCUACGGGAGGCAGCAGUAGGGAAUCUUCCGCAAUGGGCGAAAGCCUGACGGAGCAACGCCGCGUGAGUGAUGAAGGUCUUCGGAUCGUAAAACUCUGUUAUUAGGGAAGAACAUAUGUGUAAGUAACUGUGCACAUCUUGACGGUACCUAAUCAGAAAGCCACGGCUAACUACGUGCCAGCAGCCGCGGUAAUACGUAGGUGGCAAGCGUUAUCCGGAAUUAUUGGGCGUAAAGCGCGCGUAGGCGGUUUUUUAGUCUGAUGUGAAAGCCCACGGCUCAACCGUGGAGGGUCAUUGGAAACCGGAAAACUUGAGUGCAGAAGAGGAAAGUGGAAUUCCAUGUGUAGCGGUGAAAUGCGCAGAGAUAUGGAGGAACACCAGUGGCGAAGGCGACUUUCUGGUCUGUAACUGACGCUGAUGUGCGAAAGCGUGGGGAUCAAACAGGAUUAGAUACCCUGGUAGUCCACGCCGUAAACGAUGAGUGCUAAGUGUUAGGGGGUUUCCGCCCCUUAGUGCUGCAGCUAACGCAUUAAGCACUCCGCCUGGGGAGUACGACCGCAAGGUUGAAACUCAAAGGAAUUGACGGGGACCCGCACAAGCGGUGGAGCAUGUGGUUUAAUUCGAAGCAACGCGAAGAACCUUACCAAAUCUUGACAUCCUUUGACAACUCUAGAGAUAGAGCCUUCCCCUUCGGGGGACAAAGUGACAGGUGGUGCAUGGUUGUCGUCAGCUCGUGUCGUGAGAUGUUGGGUUAAGUCCCGCAACGAGCGCAACCCUUAAGCUUAGUUGCCAUCAUUAAGUUGGGCACUCUAAGUUGACUGCCGGUGACAAACCGGAGGAAGGUGGGGAUGACGUCAAAUCAUCAUGCCCCUUAUGAUUUGGGCUACACACGUGCUACAAUGGACAAUACAAAGGGCAGCGAAACCGCGAGGUCAAGCAAAUCCCAUAAAGUUGUUCUCAGUUCGGAUUGUAGUCUGCAACUCGACUACAUGAAGCUGGAAUCGCUAGUAAUCGUAGAUCAGCAUGCUACGGUGAAUACGUUCCCGGGUCU